ACCUGCGACUCGCUGGCCACGUCCCGCCAGCGGGCAGGGGCCUGCCUCGGCCACCUCCUCCGCAUACAAGGCAAGACGCUGGAGACGGGGGCCGAGGAGGACGAGGUGCAGCCUUUGUGCCAGCGCCUGAGUGCCCCAGACGCCGAGGCUCUGCUCCAGGCUUCCUCCAGACUCAGAAAGAUCGUCUGCAAACACAUCCCGC